UUAAUUAAUAGGGACAGAAUUGUUUUUCACGAAGUUGGGGGAGCUAAUUAUUAUAUAUUUAUAGAGGGGAAAAGUGUUGCAUAACCAGUUAAAUAGUAAUUAGGAGUGAUAGGCUAAUCACAUCCAACGAUACCUUGAUGAUUUUUAAAUGUAUUAGUACAUAGGCACCCUUAAAAUGAUAAGGUUUUAAGAGAAGAUUAAGUGUUUUUUUUAUAAAGUAUAUUACUUAACCGUUAAUAUAUCAAUAAUAUAAUAUUUAUUUAUCAUGGUUAUUUGUAUUAAAAAUCUAUAAUUAAAUUAUAAACAUAUAAUUAAUGUUAAUAUUAGUAACAUUUAGAUAUUAAUAAUGAACUCGGCAAAAGUCUUUCAACUGUUUACCAAAAACAUAGCUAUAUGAAUGAAUAUAUAGUAUUUUCUGCUCAAUGAAUAAUUAAAUAGCCGCAGUACCCUGACUGUGCUAAGGUAGCGCAAUCAAUUGACUUUUAAAUGAAGUCCGGUAUGAAAGAAAUUAUGGGGGGCUACUCUAUCAUUAAUAAUAAAUGAAUUUACUUAUGAAGUGCAAAUUCUUUUAUUUACACAAUAGACGAGAAGACCCUAGAAAUUUUAAGAAGAACCUUUUUGUUGGGGCAACAAAGUAGCAAACUAAUCUACUAUUAUAACCAGAAAUACUUAAAUGGGAAGAUUAAAUUACUCUAGGGAUAACAGCAUAAUUUGAAAAAGUUUGUGACCUCGAUGUUGGAUUAGGGAAUUUACGCUUAGAAG
rnacentral:rRNA from 1 species